rnacentral:lncRNA from 1 species
GUUGCAAAUGGACACCAUGGUCAGAUCAAGCUCAGGGUAUUGGCAAGCGACUUGCUCCAGGGCGGCGUCGAACCCGGCGGCAAGGACUUGGGCGGAGCUUUGCUUGAGCUCUUCGGUUUGUUUCUUCAGCUCGUCAGUUCGUUUCUUCAGCUCUUCAGUUUCCCCGCGAGCUUGAGCAAGGUCUUCAGCAACCUUUUUGCCUUCGUCCCGCGCCUGGGCCAGCUCUGCAG